CGCACCUUGCACCUUUUGGUAUUCCGAAAGGUAUGCCUGUUUGAGUGUCUUGAAACCUCACUCUCAGGAGUUUUUCUUUUGAGACGUGGAUUUGGGUGUUGCAGUUAUGCUCACCUUGAAUAUCUUAGUGGUUCUGAACCGCAGCCUGAUGUAAUAAGUUUCAUUAGGUCAUGGAGAAGGCUACUUCUAAUCGCCCCUGUGGCAACUUUUUAAGACUAGACCUCAAAUCAGGUAGGACUACCCGCUGAACUUAA
rnacentral:misc_RNA from 1 species